rnacentral:rRNA from 1 species
UACAGGGACUGCAAGCGUUAUUCGGAUUCACUGGGCGUAAAGGGUGCGCAGGCGGCCAAGUGUGUUAGGCGUGAAAGCCCGGGGCUUAACCCCGGAAUUGCACCUAAAACUACAUGGCUAGAGCAUUGGAGAGGGUAGCAGAAUUCACGGUGUAGCAGUGAAAUGCGUAGAUAUCGUGAGGAAUACCAGAGGCGAAGGCGGCUACCUGGACAAUUGCUGACGCUCAGGCACGAAAGCGUGGGGAGCAAAAGGG